UUCCGGAACAGCCCCCCGCCACCCGCCCACGCACUCAGCUCGGCGCCCUCCGGCCAACCCCGCGGCCCCCACCCAGAGGAGGGGACUCCCUGCCCGGCCACCUCGACUGUCGCCAGAAUGAGUGUGAUAGACACGUGAGCCUACCUUCUAACCAAAAGCAAGUAAGAGCUGCUAUUGAUCGCAAACAAUGUGCUGGGCACUGUGCUGAUUCACUUGCGUUAGCUCUGUGACUCCUCGUGACAAUUCUAUGAGGGAUUCUGAUUUUGGUGAGAGUGGUGUGAGCCUGAGGGACAUAAUUUCUGGAAGACUCCGUCAAGUUAUCCUGGGAACUGAAGUCCGUGCCUGCCCACCACACUGUAUCAUCAUCUGCAAACAUCUCGGGUUCCCGUGCCAAGCCCUAGUCUCAGCUGAAAAGUAUUCUGCAUCUGGCACGGAUGAAGCCUGAUGCCUGCACAGAACGUGUGCUCAGCAGAGGGACCUGCCUCUCUCUCCCUGCUCCUGGAAGACAGUACUUGAAACAGUAUCACCCCUGCUUGCCCGGCAGUCCUCCUGCUUCGUGUGGAGCUCCCCCUGUGUGUCAGGUAUGUUAGGGACAUCAGACAGGGUGGGGCACCAAGCAGAUACAAGUCCCUGCCCUCAUGCACCUCAUAGUUGGAAUCUGGGAGGAGAGAGAAGAAAAGAAACAAGACAAUAAAUUAAAUAUAGACAAAGUCAGACGGCAAUAAGCUAUAAAAAAACAUGAGAAAUAAAGAGAGAGAGAGAGUAUGUGCAUGUGUCUUGUAUGUGUGUACGUGUCAUUUUUGAGAGGAUGGCCAGGGAAGUACUUUCUAAGGCCCACUGCCCAUUUUCAGACAGCUGUUAAGAAUGGUGUUUCCAUUUUUAACUUGUUGGAAUAAAAAUCAAAAGAACAACAUUUUGUAGCACAUGAAAACUACAGGAAAUUCCAUUUCAGUAUCUAUAAAUAAAGUUUUAUUGGAACAUAGCUCUGCUCAUUUGUUUCUUGUCUGUGUGCUUCUGCAUGACAAUGGGAAGCGUGUGUAUUGCCAAGGAGACCAUGUAUCCCGUGCCUAAAAUAUUAUUCCCUGGCCUUUUAUAGAAGUAGUUUGCCAAACACCUCCCCUAAGGUGUCAUUGGAAGAAGGACCUGAAGUAGGUAAGGGAGGAAGCCAUGCCUUUAUCUGAGCAAACAUCCCAGCAGAUAUUACAGUACAUGCAAAGGCUUGUAGGAUGAGGUAGGGUCAUAUCUGGUACACUCUUGAGUAGAACCUGGCAUGGUAGGCACUCAGAUAUUUGUCGAAUACUUUAAUAAAAGAAUGGAUAAGGUAUAAUUUUCUAGUUUUUAUAUUUUUGCCUUCUCUGCCCAAAAGCCUUACCAAUCUACUACCUAAACCCUUGGUUUAGAAAUCUUUGGUGUCAAUUGUAGGCUUAAGAUCUCAACACUAGACAUGCAUGCAGUCAAGGAGGGGACUUGGGAGCAAGACAGUGCAUCUUCAAGAGGAGGGCAGGAAACAGUCCUGGGCUGGGGAGGCUUAAUAAGAUAAUCAGGAUGUGUAACUGUACAAUAAGGCAAGUAGGGAGCAGAGGAGGGCGACGGCUGGACACACCACUUCCGGUUCCUUGCUUGCUUUCCCUUAUCAUUUCGGGGAAAGGGGCUUCCUCUUGGGCGUUUGGCAAAGCACGGUUCGGUAUUUCUCUGCAUGGCCAAAAAUCAACAACAAGGGAGGAGAUUUUCCAGGGAUGUGCAUGUUGCAGCCAAAGUGACUUUCUGUGGGUCUCUGCCAGAAAGGA